rnacentral:lncRNA from 1 species
AGAGACCCUUACAUGCUACCUCGCGUAUCCCGCUCAGCAUCGUGAGACAGGAAAGAAACCGAAAACAGGGUUUUCCAUGGCCGUGUCACAAGUUCCUACACAUUCGGCAGAUUAAAGCAGGUGCCCUCGUGAUCUCAUCAUUUCUGUGUGUCGGGAAUCUGGGUG